GAUGAACGCUGGCGGCGUGCCUAAUACAUGCAAGUCGAGCGAACAGACGAGGAGCUUGCUCCUUUGACGUUAGCGGGGGACGGGUGAGUAACACGUGGAUAACCUACCUAUAAGACUGGGAUAACUUCGGGAAACCGGAGCUAAUACCGGAUAACAUGUUGAACCGCAUGGUUCAACAGUGAAAGACGGUCUUGCUGUCACUUAUAGAUGGAUCCGCGCCGCAUUAGCUAGUUGGUAAGGUAACGGCUUACCAAGGCAACGAUGCGUAGCCGACCUGAGAGGGUGAUCGGCCACACUGGAACUGAGACACGGUCCAGACUCCUACGGGAGGCAGCAGUAGGGAAUCUUCCGCAAUGGGCGAAAGCCUGACGGAGCAACGCCGCGUGAGUGAAGAAGGUCUUCGGAUCGUAAAACUCUGUUAUUAGGGAAGAACAAAUGUGUAAGUAACUAUGCACGUCUUGACGGUACCUAAUCAGAAAGCCACGGCUAACUACGUG
rnacentral:rRNA from 1 species